CGGCGGGACCCCUUGCGCGACGUGCCACUAUCGCAACAGGCUACUGGAAAAUGAUGACUAGGAAAUUGUAUAGGGGCGCGACGUGGUCCAAUCGUGUUGCCACCUUGGACGCGACCUGGAAGCUCACCAUGAUGCGGUGGUAUUUCGUCGGAACACUAGAAAAGGAUAAUUCUGAAAUCGAGCCUUGGCGCGAAGCGCCAAUAUCAAGGAGGCUCACUGGUUUUUGAAAAUUUCCAUUUUAGCUGGC
rnacentral:lncRNA from 1 species